GGUAGCAUAAUCAUUAGUCUUUUAAUUGAAGGCUUGUAUGAAUGGUUGGACAAAAAGCAAGCUGUCUCAAUUAUAAUAAUUGAAAUUAACUUUUAAGUGAAAAGGCUUAAAUAAAUUAAGGGGACGAUAAGACCCUAUAAAGCUUGACAAUAAGUCAUUUAUAUUAUAAAUUAUUAGUAUAACUUGAUAUUAAGUGGUGUUUGUUGCGUUGGGGCGACGAGAAUAUAAAAGGUAACUGUUCUUAUAACAUUUAAUAACAGAAAUAUCUGGAAAUUUAAUGAUCCUUUUUUAAAGAUCAUAAGAUUAAGUUACUUUAGGGAUAACAGCGUAAUCCUCCUUGAGAGUCCAUAUCGACAGGAGGGGUUGCGACCUCGAUGUUGAAUUAAGGUAUCCUUACGAUGCAGCAGUUGUAAAGGAAGGUCUGUUCGACC
rnacentral:rRNA from 1 species